GAUGAACGCUGGCGGCGCGCCUAACACAUGCAAGUCGAACGAUUACAGCACCUUAGGGUGUGUUUAAAGUGGCGAACGGCUGAGUAACACGUGGGCAAACUGCCAUCUUCAUUGGCAUAGCCACGGGCAACCGUGGACAUUACCGAAUACUUCGUGCCUCCUGCAUGGGAGACCAGAGAAAGUUCCGGCGGAGCGAGAUGGGACCGGGGCAUGUCAGCUUGUUGGUGGGGGAACGGCAUAGCCCGUCAAUGCUGGGUUACUGAGCUGAGAGAUGGGCCAGCCAGAAUGGGACUGAGACACGGCCCAGUCGCCAACGGGAGGCAGCGGUGGGGAAUCUGGCACAAUGAGCGAAAGCCUGAUGCAGCGACGCCGCGUGCGGAAAGAAGGCCUGCGGGGAAAAAACCGCUGCCGGCAAGUACGACGCGAAUGCGACGGUACCCGAAGAAGAAGCACCGGCUAACUACGUG
rnacentral:rRNA from 1 species